UGUAAGCGUAUUCCAAAGUUGUUGCAGUUAAAACGCUCGUAGUCGGAAUUUGGCAGUUCCGGAUGUGUGCACGUCGUGUGCGCACUUCGCGGGGAUUGCUUUUGUGGUCUUGCGUAGGAUGAGGCACUUUUAUUAGUGAACGUCCUCACGCAACCACUUUUUACUGUGAGAAAAUCAGAGUGCUCAAAGCAGGCAUUUGCCGUGAAUGUAUUAGCAUGGAAUAAUAGAAUAGGACUUGGUUCUAUUUUGUUGGUUUGUUGGGACUGAGUAAUGAUUAAGAGGGACAGUUGGGGGCAUUUGUAUUUCGGUGCUAGAGGUGAAAUUCUUAGAUUACCGAAAGACAAACUGCUGCGAAAGCGUCUGCCAAGGAUGUUUUCAUUGA
rnacentral:rRNA from 1 species